GACCUAGUAGCGGAGGGCCCGCGCCUGCUUCGUUCAUCCACACCUUUCUCAAAAGGAGGAGUCCGUGGUUCGAAUCCACGCUAGGUCA